UAAACGUCUCAGUUCGGAUUGUAGUCUGCAACUCGACUACAUGAAGCUGGAAUCGCUAGUAAUCGCGAAUCAGAAUGUCGCGGUGAAUACGUUCCCGGGUCUUGUACACACCGCCCGUCACACCAUGGGAGUCAGCAACGCCCGAAGCCGGUGACCCAACCGAAAGGGAGGGAGCCGUCGAAGGUGGGGCCGAUAACUGGGGGUGAAGUCGUAACAAGGUAUC
rnacentral:rRNA from 1 species